UUCGUUUAAAUCAAUUUUAAAAUGCAUAACUACUAUCUAUUUUCUCUUCCUGUUUCAUAAGUAUAAAAGCCCCGUCUAACGUUAUUUAUCCCAGUUUUGUGUUUCAGGACAAACUGAUUUGGAUAAUUUGCUCAAGGACAAUGGAUCGAUAACGUGAAAAAUGAAAACAUUCUUCCAGUUUGUAUGCUUAUACGCGGCAUUAUAUCUAUUUUCAGGAUAUGAUACCGUGAAUAUCAAUGGUAUUAGGCUGGCAGACGGAGAUGGAACCUAUCAAGGACGUGUAGAAAUAAGCAUUGAUGGAGUUUGGGGAACUGUCUGUGAUAACAAUUUUGACAUGGCUGAUGCAAUCGUGAUGUGCCGUAUGAUGAAUUUUUCGGCGACAUCCUUUCAUACGGGAUCCCAUUUUGGAGAAGGUGUGGGACCGGUUUUUGCGAGGGAAUUCCAUUGCAGAGGAUAUGAGUCAACCCUGCAAGAGUGUACAUUUGUUCCGAAUGAAUUCAUAUGCUCUCAUGAAAGAGAUGUUGGGAUCACAUGUACAGAAUGUGGAGAGAUAACGAUAGCUAAUGGACAAGUUGUUUCGGUUUUUGCUAAUGGGACAACUGUUACAGCAAGAUGUGAUACAGGAUAUGUAUCUGGCACCUAUAUAAGCCACUGUGAUAGUAAUGGAAAAUGGACACCUAUUACAUGUUUGCCAAUAGGUUAUCCUCUUAACAUUUCCGGAAUACGGUUGGUGAAUGGCAUUGGCUUAUUCGAUGGUCGAGUGGAAAUUUUAAUCAACAACACCUGGGGAACUGUUUGUUCCUACUCCUUCAGAAAUAAUGAAGCAAGCGCUAUUUGCCGUAUACUUGGAUACGAGGGAUACAGACGUUAUUAUACAAGUGCAUAUACGUAUGGUGAAGGGGUCGGUCCGAUUUUCGUAACUGAGCUAGAUUGCCCGUAUCGGGCGACUGAUUUCAACAACUGCACAUACAAAGUUAAUAACUCAUGUACUCAUUAUAGUGAUGUUGCUGUUGCUUGUACUGAUACCCCUCUUAAUAUCACAAACAUACGUUUGGUAAAUGGAAAUGGAUCAUAUGAUGGUCGUGUUGAACUAAUGGCAAACGGUGUUUGGGGAACAGUAUGCUCUAGAUAUGUCGGCGAGGAAGAAGCUACAACAUUUUGCCUCAUGAUGAAUAGAAGCCUUGGUAUGUAUUACCGAUCUACUGUAUUGGCAGCAGAGAGUCUUCCUGUAUUGAUAGGAAAUAUGCAUUGUUCAACAGGGAAGGACCACAUUAACGACUGCUCUUACUACUCCCCGGACAAACUGUAUUGUCCACAGAGCAAUGCAUUAUCUCUGCUUUGUUUACCAUGCAGCCUAGAUUUUAUGCAUGGCUCUAUCACUGCUUUUGAUGGCACGAAUAUUACAAUCACUUGUGACGAUGGAUAUGAACCAGAGAAAACGUAUGUUCAGUGUUUGGAAAACGGACAUGUUAUCUAUGAUAAAGUAUGCACAUCAAUAUUUAGUUAUCCACUAGAUAUCAGCAGUUUUCGUAGGGUUGGGAAUCGAAUUGAAAUUAUGGUUGAAGGAGAAUGGGGAACAAUAUGCUACGACGGUUUCGAUUCGAAUGACGGGCACGUUAUUUGUAAAAUGUUUGGAGAAAACUACAAGUCACACACCAGAGGAGGGGAUGGAAAUGGGCCUAUCUUCAUACAGAACUUGAUGUGUACUGGUUCAGAAUCACAUAUAAGUGAAUGCACAUAUAACGUACCAAACAACUGUACACACAAAGAUGAUGUAGAAGUUGUAUGUACAGACUAUCCAUUAAAUAUUAGUAACAUUCGGCUUGCCAGUACUGUAAGUGGUCGACAGGGACGAGUUGAAAUAGAAGUUGGAGGUGUGUGGGGAACAGUAUGUGAUGACGACUUUUCUAGAAAUGAUGCCUUAGUAAUAUGUCGAAUGCUUGGAUUGAAUGUCUCGUAUUCACACGCGCAUUAUUUUGGCAAUGCUCACUAUGGACCUGGAAAUGGAACAAUAUUUGUGGAUGACCUUUCCUGCAGUGGUGACGAAUAUCACAUAAAUGAUUGUAGCUAUUUACCUGAACAUAAUUGUGCUCAUAACGAGGACGUAUCAGUAAUAUGCCUAGAGGAUCUUAAUGUUACGGACGCUAGACUUCUAAAUGGGACUGGUCCCUUCGAUGGUCGAGCGGAGAUUAAAAUAAAUGAUAUUUGGGGUACAAUAUGUGACCACAAUUUUGAGCUUUUGCAAGCGAACGCCUUUUGCAGCAUUCUCGGAAAACGGGCCACCCAACGCUUUACCGGUGCCAGGUAUGGUCAAGGUAGUGGUAUAAUAUAUGACGUAUCCUGUUUAGAUAUGGAAAUAAGCAGUUGCCGGUUCGAGAUAGCAGACAGAUGUACCCAUGAGAGAGACGCGUCAGUUGUAUGCAACGAUUGUGGUGAACCAGAAAUCUCACACUGGGGCGUAGACUACUUUACAUAUAAUGGAUCAACCUUAUAUGCAGACUGUUCAUAUUACAAGUCGUAUGUUGGUACCCUAACACUGUUGUGUAACAAUGAUACCGAUCAAUGGGAAACAGUAGGAGCAUGCAGAGAAUACAGCUUCCCGCUUGAUAUAACCGGCGUCCGCCUUGUUGGUGGGGAAUCUAUAUCAAGGGGAAGAGUGGAGAUCCUUUCAAUGGAUACAUGGGGAACAAUUUGUGAUCAUUCAUUCGGAAUGAAUGAGGCUGAUGUGAUUUGUUCAAUGGUUGGCUUUCCUCCCGCAGUUAUGUACUACACAUCAGCAUAUUACGGUGAAGGUACGGGACCUAUAUUUGUGGACGAGCUUAAUUGUGGAGAAAACACGUCGCACAUUAACAACUGCACCUACAAUACAUAUGACAGCUGCGGCCAUGCGGAUGAUAUAUCUGUAGUUUGUUCAGAAUGUGAAGGUCUGGAGGUAGACAAUGGAUUCAUUAAUUCUACCGUGAACAGGUAUGGCGACGCGGUUGAAGUCAGUUGUGCCAGAGAUCAUAAACUAAACGGGAAUUCUGUCAUUAUCUGCAACAGUGAUGGUUCUUGGAGCGAUUACCCAACAUGUUCAGUCAUUGAUUGCGGAGACCCUACUCCGGAUCACGGGUUUAGUAACGCAUCUACCACUUUAAAUGGAACGGUAGUUUCUGUUGAGUGUUACGAGGGAUAUAGUACAGUUGGUGACAAUAUUAUCAGUUGUCAAGAAAAUGAAACCUGGACAGAUGAAACAGGAUGUGAAAUUAAAGAUUGUGGAUAUCCUAGUGUAUCAUAUGCAGAAGUGACCUUACCUGAUAACAAGACAACAUACGGUGAAACAGCUCGUUUAAGUUGCUGGACUGGAUAUGCCCUCACUGGUAAUCCUGCUGUUACGUGCCUAUCAAAUGGAAGUUGGGAAAUUAUGCCUACAUGUACAAUUGUUGAUUGCGGUGAUCCUACUCCGAUCAAAGGAUCCUCAGACAAAAACGAAACAACCUUUGGCACUGUCGUUAAGGUAACGUGCGAUCCUGGGAACAACAUCAUCGGGAACUCGACAAUUACUUGCCAAGACGAUGGAACAUGGUCUGAUAACCCAGUCUGUGAUGCAAUAGAUUGCGGCUUGCUGUCAGUGCCAAACGGUAAAGUAAACGAUUCUCAAGGGACUACAAUAGGAUCAGUAAUUAAAAUAACGUGUGACGAAGGAUACAAUAUAAAGGGUACAUCAUUUGCCACAUGUAUGGACACUGGAACGCGUGCUUAUUGGAACUUCACGGGUGAUUGCGAAAUACAGGUCUGUCAAGACCCUACACCUGACAAUGGGCGUAUAUCUAAAACUGAUGGUAACAUCAGCUAUGUGUUUGCAAAUUACGCUGAAAUAGAAUGCAACACUGGGUACAAAGUGCAUGGAGACAAUGUGAUAACGUGUGAAGCUGAUGGUGAAUGGAGUGAUAACACAACCUGUGUGAUAUUUGACUGUGGAUCACUUACGGCACCUUUACAUGGAACUAUGGCCGAUUUGCAAGGGACAAAGUACCAUGCUGAAAUAAGAUUUAGCUGCAAUGAAGACUUUCUUCUUCUUGGCGAAGAAAGUACCGUAUGUGAAGAAACAGGAGAAUGGAGUAAUGAGACUCCAGCAUGUGUAGCUAAAUCUGAUGUUGGAGAUACCUGUAUACAUAAAGAUUAUUGUUUAUUAGCGGAUUCUCAGUGCAUUAACUCUGUUUGUACGUGUAUCACUGGAAUAUAUGAUAGUCGCACAAAGAAAUGUGACACAAUGCCUCUGAUGCCUUUUGGUGAAAAAGAGGGUGAUACUUCGGUUUCAAAUAGAACAGACUGCAGUCACAAAGUAUCAUUUGAGCCCAGAUUUCCUAUUUUUGACCAGAUGCACACAGAUUUGUAUGUUUGCAAGUACGGAUUAGUUAGCUUUGAUACUCCAUUUGCCAAUCCGACACCUCCUGCAAACAAACAGAGCUUGGCUAGUCUUGGCUUACAGAAGACCAUACUCGCACCUUUCUAUGGACCGAUAGAUAAUAAGAAGUCUGGACCAGUGUGGUUCAGAUCAUAUAACAUUUUGAAUUCUCAUCGGAAAAUGGAAAAGCAUUCUGACCUGAUUUCAUAUAUAGAGAACAUUGUCAAAAAAUUUGAAGAUCUUCCUUCGUAUAACGCCAGUUUUGUUUUGAUUGCAACAUGGUAUCAAGCGAAAGCAGUAGGAAGUGGAUAUGACAAAACAAAGAGUUCUACAUUCCAAGUUGUCUUAACUUCCGACGGGAAGACAACAUAUGCAUUUUACAUUUAUGGAAAUGGUAUGAUGCAGUGGGUCAACAACUUGUCUACAGACCUUAAUGUGUGGGUCGGAUACACAGUAAAUUCUCUUACCAACACACAUCCCUAUUCUUUUACUGAUGCGGCGUUGCAAUUAGAUUUGAAGCUUACGAUUUCGUCCUCUGAAAAAGAUGUAGCUGGACUGAUCUUCAGACCACUGAAUUCGCAAGGCAAACAACGCGACAACCAUGCUGUUGACUGCAUUAGAUGGUACAAUGAGAACUACAAAGAGAAGAAACGACUUGAUUACGUUGCAAGCCUUAUACCAGAUUGUCCAUGUGAUAUACGAUUGUCACGAUUCGAUCCUUGGUUUUGGCGAAUUGGGUUGUACCGAUGGCGCCAAGAUUUGAAAUAUCAAUGUGUUGAUAUGCUGCACGUGGGGAACCUUGGACAUUAUGGGAAGUCCUGUUGUUAUGAUUUGAGAACCUGGCUUUGGGUAUACGAAAGACCACUGGCUGGCAGUUUCCAGCUUUUUAACCGACACCAUCCCUUAGAACACAAAAUAAACGAUGUUCAACCAAAAACAAAGUGUUGUGUUUUGUCGAAAUAUUGUAAUCUCUACUACGAUUUAAGACCGACUGGAAGCUGUUAUAGAACAUCGCCGUAUAAUUUUGGAACAUUCUGGGGAGAUCCGCAUUUCAGUACAUUAGAUGGUAUGAAUUUCACGUUCAAUGGACUUGGAGAGUAUACACUUUUACAAAUUGAAACAGAAAACUGCUCUUUUGAUCUGCAAGCAAGAACCGAAAGAGCUAUUAAAGGAAAUGGCAAUUUAUCUGAUGCCACAGUUUUCACAGCAUUUGCUGCGAAAGAUUCACAUAAUUCAUCAGCUCAUAUAGAACGCAAUGAGGAACGAACUGGAAUAAAUCUAUACGGAAACAAGGUGGAUCUGACAGACAAGUAUAACUCAAAUACAAAUGAAACGGACCCAUUUACGUGGUCAUCAAAGGACGGAAAGUUGGUUAUUUCCAAGCAAAAUGGCAGUGUGAACGUCUUCUUCCCAGCAUGUAAUGUAUCUCUUAUAAUAGCAAUUGGUGUCGAAAUGCUUUCUUUGAGCACGUUUGUCCCUGAAAAGUUUAAAAAUCAAACAAAAGGACUACUUGGAAAUUACAAUGGUGAUGCAAUCGAUGACUUUACUAUGCCGAAUGGAACAGCCUUAAAGCCAAACCUUACUGACAGAGACAUUUUUGAAUACGGGAAAACAUGGACAAUAAAUCCGAACAACUCUGCUUUUGUAUACGAUGAUGGGGGAUCCCAUUUCGACUUUCACAACGAUUCGUAUGUACCAAGAUUUUUAGACGAAGCUGACCCUGAGCUGAGAGCUAAAGCAAUUGAAGUAUGUAAUGGUCCCGAGAACACAGAAUGUGUGUUUGACUAUGUUUUCACUGAAAAUCCAGACGUUGCAGAGAAAACUAAACAGGUCAAAGGACAGGCAGAAACAGACAAAAUAGAAAUUGAGGAGACUGUUCCGUUACUUGAAGGAUGUUCAACUGUAAACGUGACAAAAGGACAGAGUGCAUCGUGCAAAGUAAGCGUUGAUGUCGGCUAUACAGUACACAUUGUUUCAAACAACGUUAGCGCUGAAUUUGACCAGGCGUCUUCUACUGUUACAUUCGUUCCGGAAACAGAUGAACCUGUCUCGAUCCGAGUUGCGGCUGCAAACGAGAACGGUCGAUACUCUCCGACAUUUUCUUUGAGUAUAUUACUGUGUACCGAUUGUAAUGGACAUGGUGUAUGUACAGGUGUCCCAAGGAAUGAUCCACGAGAAAACGAGUAUUUUCAUUAUUCCAUGUGCGAAUGCGACCUUGAAUAUGAAGGACCUGACUGUGAACGUGUGUUUGACGGAUGUGCGGCAAAACCGUGCUCAUUAGAUAGAGGAUGUGCAAGCCUAACGGCAGAACAACAAAAGAUACUGAAGACAUCUUAUAUAUGUGAGCCAUGUCCUGAUGGCUUUGAGGAUGACGGCGAGGAUGGAUGCAUCGAUAUUGACGAGUGUAGUGUUAGCAAAGGUAAUUGUGAACACAACUGCAAAAACACAGAGGGAAGUUUUGAAUGUACAUGUAAACAUGGAUAUAGAGUUAACAUCAAUGACAAAUUGAAGUGCAAAGAUAUAAAUGAAUGUGAAGAGGCUAUGCACAACUGUGACCAAUUAUGUAAUAAUACAGAAGGUGGCUUUAUUUGUCAGUGCUACGCCGGUUAUGGAUUUAAUACAACAUCAUGGUCAUGUGUUCAGAUAUCGGACAGUACAUGUGAUGAUACGAAGAAAGAUGAGUGCUCAAACACACAUGGCUGUACCACUAAGGACAAUGUUCCGCUUUGCUUCUGUAAAGACGGUCAUGAAUUAGAUGAGACUGGGACAAGCUGCAAAGAUAUUGAUGAAUGUAGUAGAGGGAUAUGUCCACAGGACUGUAUCAAUAUAAAUGGCAGUUUUCAGUGCAGGUGUUUUGCUGGUUACCGUUUGGAAGGAGUCGCAACAUGCACAGUAUGUGAUGUACUUCACUGGGGAGACAACUGCGAACAGGACUGUAUUUGUACUGGCCAAGGGGCGGACAGAUGUGACCCAGUCAAAGGGUGUGUAUGUGAAGACGGAUGGCAUGGUAACAGAUGUAAUGAUGAUAUUAACGAAUGUGAAUUGAAACAUCAGGCGUGCAAUGACCCGAGGAAAUUUUGUGUCAAUAGCCUAGGUUCAUAUACCUGUGAGUGUAGAGCAGGAUUUUACAAAACAGAUCAAGGAGACUGCAGAGAUACCGAUGAAUGUCCAGACCCGCUGCUGCAUAAUUGUACGCAAGAAUGCAUCAAUGCAAUUGGAGGUUAUUCCUGUGGGUGCAGAGAAGGAUACACGAAAAAAGACAAAUGGUCUUGUGAGGAUAUAGACGAAUGCGAGUUAGGUACAUCUAGCUGUGAACAGAAAUGUGUGAAUGACCAAGGCCAGUACAGUUGUUUUUGUCAUUUUGGAUACAGUAUUAACGAUGACCGAAGAACAUGUAGAAAACUUUCAGACCUUUGCCUGUCCAUUUAUAAUCUCACCUGUUCGCAUUUCUGCCUACCAGAUGUUGAUAACGCGGUGUGCGGCUGCAGAAGUGGCUAUAAGCUCAAACCUGACAAUGAAACGUGUAUAGAUAUCAAUGAAUGUACUGACGAUGAUGAAAACAAAUGCGACGCAGAUGCCACGUGUACAAAUACGGAAGGAUCAUACUUGUGUGAAUGUCCAGAUGGAAAACAUUUGGAAAAUGACGGACGCACAUGCUCAGAAUGUGAUGAUUAUCACUAUGGACGGAACUGUUUGAAGACCUGUAGUUGCUUACAUGGAAUUUGUGACAAGAGGACUGGUUGUGUUUGCAAUCCUGGAUGGGCCGGCACACUUUGUGACGCUGAUAUAGAUGAAUGCUCCACAGAACAAGUUGUAUGUAUAAAAGAAAAGUCCGUUUGUGUGAAUGUACUUGGAAGCGCCGUUUGUUCUUGUGAAACAGGAUACCAGAACCAGUCUGGAGUUUGCCAAGAUAUUGACGAGUGUGAUGAUGUGACAGCAAACGAAUGUGACCAGAUAUGUACCAACACAGAAGGAAGCUACACUUGCUCUUGUCAACAUGGUUUCUUUCGUAAUGGAAAAUGUACAGAUAUAAAUGAAUGCACUGGAAAUCAUGGUUGUGAUCAGAUUUGUGAAAAUACUGUGGGAAGCUAUAGAUGUUCUUGUGAGGGAGGUUUCAGGCUUAGCUUGAAUGAUCGGAAAAUAUGUUUGCCGGAACAAGAGUGCAGCGAAGAUCAAAGCAUGACUUGUCCAAAACAUUCAUCAUGUUUUGUUGAGAAUGGUGAAGUGAAUUGUCGAUGUUUGAAAGGCUAUCAAGGAGAUGGUAUUUGUAACGACACUGACGAGUGUUUGGCUGAUUUACAUCUAUGUUCGCAAAAGUGUUCGAACACUGAGGGCAGUUUCAUUUGCAGCUGUAAUGUUGGGUUUUUCCUACUAGAAGACACAGUUACAUGUAAAGAAUGUGAAAUGUGGAAGUAUGGAGAUAACUGUAGCAAAGCUUGCUCUUGUAACAAGCAUCACACUGAAACAUGUGACUCUGUUAAUGGAAAAUGCGUAUGUGUAUCAGGAUGGAGCGGAGCAACUUGUAACGUGGACGUUAACGAAUGUGAUGAUGGCAUGGUUUGCCCAAACAACUCUGUUUGUAAUAAUACAAACGGAAGUUACAACUGCAAAUGUCUAAAGGGCUACUAUAAAACUGGAAACAGAGAAUGUGAAGAGUGUACUGGCUGGACAUUUGGUGAUAAUUGUAUGUCUACCUGCAUUUGUAUCAAAACAAACACAGAAACAUGUGAUGCAAAGACAGGAACAUGUGUGUGUGAGGAGGGCUGGAAUGGAACAAUCUGUGAAAACGACAUCAACGAAUGCGCAAAUGAAACAGCUUGUCCUAAACACUCCAUGUGUUAUAACUCCGAUGGAAGCUAUGAGUGUAUCUGCAAUACUGGCUACCGACUGAUGUUUGAUGGAAAGUGUGAAACAUGCCCAGAUGGAACAUACGGUUUUAAUUGCAGUGAAGACUGUGCAUGUAAUCAACUAAAUUCGGAAUCCUGCAAUAACGUCUUUGGGAACUGUACUUGCAAAGAGGGUUGGAUUGGUUCGACUUGUUCUGAAGAUAUAGAUGAAUGCGAAGAAAACCCGACCUUGUGUCAGAGCAAAGAAAACUCAACAUGCGAGAAUACGAAUGGGUCAUACAAAUGUAGAUGUAAUGAGGGGUUACGUGAGCAAGGCAAUAUAUGUACAGAUUCAGCUAUUCUGAUCGCGGUAGUUGUUACAUUCGAGACAGAUCUUCCUGCUGGAACUAACAUCGACGUCACUAGCAUAUAUAUCAGCAUUGCAAAUAAACUUGUGACAACACUGCGUACAUUUCUUAAACGAUUUACGGACGCUCUGUUAGAAUUAAUUAUUACUGAUAUAAGUGUAGGUAGCGUUUUAAUUGCCAACUAUUCUGUCCAGUAUGGUAAGGCUGAUAAAGACGUUGCUUCCAAAUUAGUACAGGCAAUCAUCGAACUUCAAAAGGGUGUUGAACUUGUAUUCGAUGGACAGACAAUCAAUGCUUCGUCAGAUUCAUAUAAAGACAUGGCGCCAUGUGAGAUUCUUCACACGAUUGUUGAAAGUUGUGGAGAAGGAUAUACAUGUCAAGUAGAUGAUAAUAUACCAGUAUGUAGCUCAGAGAAGGGUCAGUCAAAAGUUAAGUGGCAGUUGGUCAUCAGCCUGUCAGCUGCUGGAUUAUUCAUUCUGAUUGUAGCAGCGUUAUUAGCUGUCACUGUACAUAGGCUGAGGCUGAGGCUGAGGCUGAGAAGAAGAAAUAGGGAGAACAGCUACUGUCCUCGAGGAGACCGUCAAGAAGGGACUAUGAAGGAUCUGGAUUUAACAGAAAUUUCCGAGGGAACGAUGAGUAACCGAGCGUCCUCAAGAAAUUCCCGUGCAAAUCGGUUUUAAAGAAUAUUGUAGUCAGUGCAUAAUUAUGCCAGACAUUUCAACGAUUUGUGAUUGUUACGAUGUGGAAUCUUCUACCACUGUUACUAUAUUUGCAGGGGUGGUUUUGACAUUAUUAAAUAUUCAUAUCAUGUUGGGUUUUUUUCAGAUAGAAAAAAGUAUAAACAGUUUUAGUUCGAUAACAUUAUGUAAACUUUUUUUUUUCAUUUUUUGUUAGUAAAUACAAUUAACACAAACUUGUCAUAUAUAUAUAGAUUAUUUCUCACUAUGACGACGUUCAUAUGUAAAUUUUUAUUGUGUGAGUAAUCUGACCUACGUUAACCAGAUUAGAACGUUAACGAAUAUUUUUGUUUCUCCACGUUUAUUAUACCAUCAAAAUACUUUGUAAACAGUUAUUAGAGAUUGUUGAUUUGUCAAUUUGUCAUUUAAUUUCGCGACUUGAUUUUGCGAAUGUUGAGGUUCAGUACAUGUCAAUAGCUUCGAAAUACUUUUAUAUACUUAAAGUUGGUGAAUUUUGUGACCAAAAUCCUUGAUAUCCGAUUUUAGUUGUUUAGGUGUAACCUGUCCUUUUUCUUUUGAGAAAAUGUUCAUUCGUACAUGUCAAAAUAUUUAAUAUUCUGCCAGUGGUUUGACCCUAUUAUAUGCCAAUUUGUUUCUUUCAAUUUAACUCUUCAGUUUGCACCUUCUUAUUUAUCUCAGCUGAAUAAAAAUAAAACAAAAUAGUUCCUUCCAAAUUUGAAGAAAGUUUGACUGAUAAUCUAGCAAUUCAUUUAUAAUGACAGAAACAGUAUACAUGCGUAUUUUGCUUUUCCGUGAGUUUUGGGAAAGUUACAGCAUAACUUUACAGCUGUUCAGUUGCUUGUGUAAUAGCUUAUUAGCGGAUCGUUUUCAUAGACUACUUCAUUAUCAUUUUUAUGUAAAAAGCAAUUUCAUUUAUAUAGAAACAAAAUUUUAUUAUCAUAUAAACAUAUAUACCAAAGCAACAUACAAUUUAAAUGAAAUGAAUAAGUAGGAAAGUGAUAGAUUUAAUAGGUCUCUAAAUAGUUAAUACCCGUAAAUUUCUAAAAAAUAACAAGAGUUUAGAAAUACCACAACAAUUUAUCAUAACUAAGAUUGAAAACUCUUUCAGCACUGUAGCUGUUAUUCUAAUGUCAAUGUUACAGAUAUUUUGACUUCUUCAUCUUAUGCAUAAAUCAUAUGCUCAUUCCAAGUCUAUAAGUCCAAUGCUCCAACAUGCAAUUUUUUAUUCUUUUAUCUCCUGGCUGUUAUCAGCCUAGUUACCUUGAAUAGAAGAUGUAUAAAUAUAUAUCUCUGUCUUCCAUUUAAAAAUGCUAUCUGUUAAAAUGAUAAGAAAAGAUCUUUUAGCCCUUCAAUUUUAACAUUGGGUGUUAAUACAUAGUAUAUAAUCAUAUCUGUGAGUUGUGUGCCAUUUAUAAUAUGUUACAUAGAAAACAUAAAUUAUGCAAAAAUAUUGGAAGAUAUUUUCAAGUGGAAAAAGUGUUGCCACCAACUGAAAUUAUAUAUUCAAGCAGGAAGUUUAAAACAGAAAUCAAACGUUACAUAUUCUUACAAAUCCUUACAAAAGCAGCUCAAUCUUUUAACACUUAGGGUACCUGUGUAUUGUGUCCAGUAAUGUAAUAUAAAGCAGAAUCAUAAACUUUUCCCAUAUCUUUUCUAAAUCAUUAACAUAACUCUUCAAGCUUUUUUGUUAUAUUUUGAAAUUUGUUAAAGAGUUUUAUCAUGAAACAAUUCUAUUUUCCAAGCGAGGUUUCCAACACACAGCGAAUAGAGACAAGUGGUUGUACAGCUGAAUGCCAACCAAUUUUAUGUUAUCACGAUUUUUGAAUUGUCAUAUGUCACAAUACAUAUUGCAUUAUGCUUAUUGUUUAGAAUACAAACAGGAUUUUUCAUUUAUUUUGAGGUAUUACAGAUACUUUGUUAAUUAUCAAACUCGGAAAAAAAAAUUAUAGUAAAAGUCAUGACAUGAGUUGUUUCCUAUUUUACAACUCAAAAAAUCAAAUAUGUUUAUGUAAUCUUAGCUUUCUUGGUAACCAGUGACCUUUGCUAGUAUUUUUGUUAAUGUUUGUAUGUUAUCAUAGGAGUGUGAAGACAAUACAUGAACUUUAAAAGGUCUGUCGCUGUCUAGGGUUUCUCACUGGGAAAAUGUGAGGUCAAAGAUCAACUGUGUACAUUCACAAAUAAACUACACCUUUGUACUCUUUAAGUUAUUUUCAUUUAUCCCGUUAAAAAGUUUAAAUAAGUUUCAUGUACCCUGGUAAUAAGACUGAUAAAAGUAGCAGCAAUUUUUUCUAAUACUUAUUCAUUAAAGUCUGUAUCUAAAAAUGUAAUCUCUGGUGAUGCUUGACAGCUCUUCUAAUCUUUAUAUAUGAUCAACUGCAAUAUUUCCGGACUGUCAUUUCCUUGGGAUCAUCUCAAGGCCACAAUAUUAAAAGAAAAAAUUUAGAAAAAUUUAGAAAAUUUAAUGAUUACUAACCAAACACAUAUUAUUCUGCAAAACAAUCAUGGUUUUGCUUUAAUAGCGAUAGUAUUAGAUGAGUUUAAGUGAUCAUAAAAUCAUUCAAAUGUUACUAGUAUCUAACAUUAUCUAUUGAUUUUCAAUUUUAACCGAAAAAUGUAAAAAUUCUGAAGAGCAGGAGGCAUAAUAUAACUCGUUUGGCCUUCGGCUGAUGCAGUCCUAAUAUAAAGCGUGAAUUGAGCAAUGGAUGAGAAAAUAUAAAGUACUUAAAACUAGUUUUGAUUUUCAAGAAAAAUUUGCUUUUUUCUACAAAUAUAAAGAUAAUUGUUGUGAAGCCUACGCAUGGAAUUGAAACCAGGUUUUAGAAUAUUCGAUGAAAUUCGACGCAUUUUCUUGAGUCAAAUAUAGUGUCGGUGCCAGAUUUUGAAUUAAACUAUUUUGGACUCUG